GAGUUUGAUCGUGGCUCAGAGUGAACGCUGGCGGUAGGCCUAACACAUGCAAGUCGAACGGUAACAGGUCUUUCGGGAUGCUGACGAGUGGCGGACGGGUGAGGAAUACAUCGGAAUCUGCUCAGUCGUGGGGGAUAACGCAUGGAAACGUGCGCUAAUACCGCAUACGACCUUCGGGUGAAAGCAGGGGAAUCUUUAGGGAUCCUUGCGCGAUUGAAUGAGCCGAUGUCGGAUUAGCUAGUUGGUAGGGUAAAAGCCUACCAAGGCGACGAUCCGUAGCUGGUCUGAGAGGAUGAUCAGCCACACUGGGACUGAGACACGGCCCAGACUCCUGCGGGAGGCAGCAGUGGGGAAUAUUGGACAAUGGGGGCAACCCUGAUCCAGCCAUACCGCGUGGGUGAAGAAGGCCUUCUGGGUUGUAAAGCCCUUUUGUUGGGGAAGAAAAACAACGGGUUAAUACCCCGUUGGUAUGACGGUACCCAAAGAAUAAGCACCGGCUAACUUCGUGCCAGCAGCCGCGGUAAUACGAAGGGUGCAAGCGUUACUCGGAAUUACUGGGCGUAAAGGGUGCGUAGGUGGUUGCGCCAGUCUGUCGUGAAAGCCCUGGGCUUAACCUGGGAAUGGCGAUGGAAACUGUGCAACUAGAGUGUGACAGAGGGUGGUGGAAUUCCUGGUGUAGCAGUGAAAUGCGUAGAGAUCAGGAGGAACAUUCGUGGCGAAGGCGGCCACCUGGGUCAACACUGACACUGAGGCACGAAAGCGUGGGGAGCAAACAGGAUUAGAUACCCUGGUAGUCCACGCCCUAAACGAUGCGAACUGGAUGUUGGGUCCAACUUGGGAUUCAGUAUCGAAGCUAACGCGUUAAGUUCGCCGCCUGGGGAGUACGGUCGCAAGACUGAAACUCAAAGGAAUUGACGGGGGCCCGCACAAGCGGUGGAGUAUGUGGUUUAAUUCGAUGCAACGCGCAGAACCUUACCUGGCCUUGACAUGCACGGAACCUUU
rnacentral:rRNA from 1 species